UGCCAGCCGCCGCGGUAACACGGGGGGCGCAAGCGUUAUUCGGAAUUAUUGGGCGUAAAGGGCGCGUAGGCGGUUAGUUAAGUCGGAUGUGAAAGCCCUGGGCUCAACCUGGGAACUGCAUUCGAUACUGGCCAACUAGAGUACGAGAGAGGGAGGUAGAAUUCCACGUGUAGCGGUGAAAUGCGUAGAUAUGUGGAGGAAUACCGGUGGCGAAGGCGGCCUCCUGGCUCGAUACUGACGCUGAGGUGCGAAAGCGUGGGGAGCAAACAGGAUUAGAUA
rnacentral:rRNA from 1 species